UGGGAAGAAAUAGAAUGUGCAUACCUGCUUUGUUUUAUUUUAGGUAAAGAUGAUAUAUUUUGCGGUGAUCACAGUGACCUAGAAUGCACGGGAAAAUCGCUCUACUUUGUACUUGCACUUAAAUCAUACUGUGAUAUAAAUAAGACAGAGUCACAUAUGCUGAAAGAAACUCUGAAUACUUCCCCAGAAUUUUCAGACAAAAAAAAUCAUGGAUGAAAUACAAGCUCGACAAAGUGGGCGAUCUAACUGGCGCAGAAGAAUGACUAGCACCGUACCGCAGAUUGGAGAUGAGCCGACAUUUAGCCUAUAGCAAUAUAAACACAGCGUUCAAAGACAAAUCAGUGAAAAGUAAAUACUUUAUUUACAAACAUAUACACUAUUGAAAACCAUUUCAUAAUUUGGAUGAUAUAUUUAAGGGUGCAUGGUGUCCUAUGAUAGAGCGCCCGGCUCGAGUGCGGGAGGUCGUGGGUCCGAUCCCUGGCUGCGUCAUAAUGGUACUAGUAGCUUCCUUUCUUGGCACUAAGAGGACUGUCAGUAUAAUCUGACUUAGUGGGAUACCAUGUUACGUGCUUACGGCGUAAUAUUCCAGUGAGUCAGCAUUAUAAAGUUGGGAUAGUACAAUUUUCAGCUAUUACAACAGUGCCACAGUUCGUUUCCGGCGGAACUAACAUAUCAUUCUGGGAAACAUCAGACGAUGGGGCGCCCACUUGUAGUCGUCCACGUUCCUUGGAAGCUGAUGAUACAGCGCCACAUGUUAAAACAGUGACGAAAGCAGAUAUUCUAAAGACAGUCAGAUUACUACGCUAACUCCAUGUGAUAAUGCGCAUUCAAUAAUUUACAGAGUGUGGUGCUGCCGUACUACUUUUGUUAAUUGUUAUGUUCUUUCUGACAGAACAUUAGCUACUGUGUAUUAUGCCAUCGCAUACUGGGAGCAACUACACUUGGACAAAAGCCACAGGAUGGUUAGAUAGUGCAGCCACAAGUUUCGAUGAAGCGUACGUUGCCAACGUCACAAAUAGUGAUCCCAGCAUAAAGACGUAUUACAUCACAGCAUUUUACGUUUACGUUGCUGACGUCAACAGGAUUAGGAAACAUGUCACCAAAUACUAACGGCGGGAAAAUAUUCUCAAUAUUUGCUGUUCUGCUUGGUUGUCAUAUGGCGACUUUCCGGCUCUAAGGAAGACCCCAGCUACCCACUCCAAGCAUUAUUUUGUGCAUGAGUGGACAACUUGAUAGAACCUCGCACAUCCACAAAGUCCACUUAAUGUUUUCCUCACAUGAAAG
rnacentral:lncRNA from 1 species